GAUGAACGCUAGCUACAGGCUUAACACAUGCAAGUCGAGGGGCAGCGCAGUGUAGCAAUACAUGGGCGGCGACCGGCGCACGGGUGCGUAACGCGUAUCCAACCUUCCCGUUACUCAGGGAUAGCCUUCCGAAAGGGAGAUUAAUACCUGAUGGUGUUCGAAAUUCCGCAUGUUAUUUCAACUUAAAGAUUAAUCGGUAACGGAUGGGGAUGCGUGACAUUAGAUAGUAGGCCGGGGUUAACGGCCCACCUAGUCUACGAUGUCUAGGGGUUCUGAGAGGAAGGUCCCCCACACUGGAACUGAGACACGGUCCAGACUCCUAC
rnacentral:rRNA from 1 species